UACGUAGGUGGCAAACGUUGUCCGGAAUUAUUGGGCGUAAAGCGCGCGCAGGCGGUCCUUUAAGUCUGAUGUGAAAGCCCACGGCUCAACCGUGGAGGGUCAUUGGAAACUGGGGGACUUGAGUACAGAAGAGAAGAGUGGAAUUCCACGUGUAGCGGUGAAAUGCGUAGAGAUGUGGAGGAACACCAGUGGCGAAGGCGACUCUUUGGUCUGUAACUGACGCUGAGGCGCGAAAGCGUGGGGAGCAAACAGG
rnacentral:rRNA from 1 species